UGAAGAAGCGGGGAUAUACAUAUAAGACGAGAAGACCCCAUGGAGCUUUAAACCUGACAGCACCCGCUCAUUCUAUACCCCAUUAUUUGCCCGACCCCUGUCUGCUCAGUUUUAGGUUGGGGUGACCACGGAGUAUAAAAUAACCUCCAUGAAGAAGGGGAUAUUUCCCUUAUUAGAGAACCACACUUCCAAGAACUAAUAAAUUAAUUUUCAAUGACCCGAUACCCGAUAAUCGAUCAACGAACCAAGUUACCCUGGGGAUAACAGCGCAAUCCACCCUGAAAGCCCUUAUUAACAGGUGGGUUUACGACCUCGAUGUUGGAUCAGGGUAUCCCAGUGGUGCAGCAGCUACUGAGGGUUCGUUUGUUCAACGAUUAAAACCCU
rnacentral:rRNA from 2 species